AAUUCCUACGGGGCGCAGCAGUAGGGAAUAUUGCACAAUGGGGGAAACCCUGAUGCAGCGACGCCGCGUGGGCGAAGAAGUAUUUCGGUAUGUAAAGCCCUAUCAGCAGGGAAGAAGAAAUGACGGUACCUGAGUAAGAAGCACCGGCUAACUACGUGCCAGCAGCCGCGGUAAUACGUAGGUGGCAAGCGUUGUCCGGAUUUACUGGGUGUAAAGGGCGUGCAGCCGGGAAGACAAGUCAGAUGUGAAAUCCCGCGGCUCAACCGCGGAACUGCAUUUGAAACUGUUUUUCUUGAGUACCGGAG
rnacentral:rRNA from 1 species